rnacentral:lncRNA from 1 species
GUUGUUGUUGUUGCUAUUUCUUGGGCUGCUCCCGCGGCAUAUGGAGGUUCCCAGGCUAGGGGUUGAGUCGGAGCUGUAGCCACCGGCCUACGCCAGAGCCACAGCAACGCGGGAUCCGAGCCGUGUCUGCAACCUAUACCACAGCUCACGGCAACGCCGGAUCGUUAACCCACUGAGCAAGGGAAGGGACCGAACCCGCAACCUCAUGGUUCCUAGUCGGAUUCGUUAACCACUGCGCCAGUUAAUUUUUGGUCUUUUUGUUGUGGGUAUCCUUGAAAGUGGACAACUCAGGCAAAGGACAAACAAUUGAGCACACGUGACCAAGAACAGAUGUGGACACAGCCAUCACAGUGGAAAUAAAUAUCAGCUUUAUUAACACUCAAAGUGCCAUUCAUUUAUAUUCAUUCCAUAGUCCAGAAGGUUACUCAGAGUAAGCCUUUGCACCACAAUCUUUCAAAAAAUGAACAUGUAAGAAAAAGCAGUUUUUGUUGUGCUAAUUAUUGCAGGCCUUCAUGCACGAUAAAUCUAAACAGAGAUGUGUGCCAACAAUAUACAAAUUUCCAUAUAAACAAAGUCAUUGGUCACUAACAAAAUAUAAACAUGGUCUCUUUCACAUUGGUUUAAAAAAAAAGCUAUUUACCAGCAAGAAAAAACAAGUACAUAAAAACUGUAAAACUCAGAAAUUUUAUACAUUUUUACAAGCACAAUUGUGAAAGAACACAAAGUCAAAAUGUGCAUGAAAUGUGGCACAUACCACACUGUAUCUGGCUUCUGGUAGGUUUUUCUAAUCAUACCGGCUCCUUAUAACACAAUAAGCUUAGUGACAUUCGACUUCAACAGUGGACUUUAUUCCUAACAUUAAGUCAUUUCACGUGGUACCGCAUAUUAAAAACAAAAGAUUUUUCUUAUUUUUUUCUCACAUUGUCUGACUGGAAAUUUAAUUCCCAAUUCUUUUUCUGCCAGUUACUUAAAACACACAGUACAGCAUAAAGACACAACAAUGUAUGUUUGGACAUUUUUAAACUGAUUUAUAGUCAAUUACAGAGAAUCACAAUAUGUCGAUGUAUUUUAUAAAUGAGGUAUGGCCUUGCCCAGUGAGAGAACUAAAUGUUGAAAUCUUUGGGGUAGAAUAAAGGAAAUAUUAAAAAACAACGUAGGACAGGCCAACAGCAACUGGUGAUAUAAAAACCUUGACAUCUCUUCAAGAUAAUUUAAUUUCUCAUUUUUUCAUAGCUCUGAGAAUUCAAAGGCUGUUUUAGUGGACAGUGUUUUUGCUUCUGCUUAAAACCUUUUUUUCCCCUCUUAAUUUGCAUUUUGCAGAAUUCUCAAAGAGAAUUCAAUGUUCUUCUUUGCAAGAGUGUUUUAAUUGGUAGAUAUUUAAGUAAAUCUGCAUCCAAUUGUGGAAAUACAAAUACAUUUUGAAUGGUUAAAAACAAAAUUAAAAAAAUACUUUUGAUCAGCCAGCUGAAAAUAUAUUCAUAUAGUAAAUAAUCUCUCAGAAAGCUUUAUAUAUAUUUAAUUAUUCUAACUAAACAGUACCUUUAUAAAACAAGUUCAUAAAAAUGUAGAAAUGAAAAUAAGAAAUUACUGGGAUAUAUACAUGUGCCUACAGACAGAAAAAGACAUUUCCACACACACACAUCCCCUGACACACAGAGUACAAGCAUACUUUCAACUUAGUCAUGGAUUUUAGAAAGCAUACAAAAUCAGAAAGUGAUGUUGAACUCCUGAGUUCUUCAACAAAGAUAGAACCAUAGAUAAGUAUACUUUGUAAAAGCAAGAGUGUCCAUUUAAGUCAGUAAUAGCAGUGCAGUUACUGACGGUUACAUCUUAAAAGAAGUUUAAACACAGAGACAGACAGUAGUUCAAUGCACGCAUCCGCAUUCACGAUGCUCACACACCCAUCAACGAUGACUGUCAGAGUAGUAAAUCAGUGUACAAAUAAACAUUUCCAAAAAUGUGCAAAAAAGUCAACCUGGAUAGGAAAAGAACACCUUUGUACAUAAUUAUAAACUGCCCAGCAUUCAAAUGAGAUUAAAAACGUUUACAGAGAGAAACUAACAGAUUAAAUAUAGAGAAUUUAAUGGCUACAUUAAAAAUGUACAUUAGGUCAAAGGGUAAAUUUACAAAUUGAUAAUCAUAGUUUGCAACAUUAAAAGUUUAUUCUCAGAUUUAUCCAAGUUUACUUUUAUUUACAGUGAUGUUUGAAUAAAAAGAACCAUGUGAAAUGUAAGAGAUGUCAGACAAUAAAAGUAUUUUUUGGUAUUAACUUUUAUAAUAUUUCAGAAUGCAGGGUAGCAAAUUUUAAAACCAAUAGCAAUAGAAAAAAUGUAAACCUUUACUUACUAAUUAAGAUUGUAUUAAAACCACUUGUUUUUAAAGAAGUAUUCUUAUUCUCAGACACUGUACUUUCACUUGAACAGGGUAUAUUGCAAGGGUUUGGCCUAUUUUCUUUUGCCCAUAAAUCUUUCCAGCUCAAAUGUUUCCACCAGUUUUUUCUUAUUCCAGGUGGAAAAAAAUCUUUGGAAAAAAUGAGAAUAUGACAAGUCCAUUUUGGAGCCUAAGGAUCUAACAGAGUUAAGAUAUAAUUUUGUUACUUAUCUCUCCUCUCCAAGUAAUGCUAAUGCUAAAAUCACCAAUAGUUAUGUAAGAGAACACAAAAGUGCUUUUCAGUAUAGUCACAAACUUUACUGGCUUUAAAAGGACUCAGAAAUCCUAAUGGGGGACAAAUUCUGUACUCUUCCUUAUGUUCCAAAAUUUCUAUGGUACAAAAAAAUCCAUAACCUACUUUUCUUCACAGCUUUCCUGAAGUGACCCUCAAGUCAAACACAAGUUCAUAAAUGUUAAGACACCAGGAAGAAAGAAUGCCACCAACCUGAGGCAUGCCAUGUGGAUGUAUAUGUGUAUGCCUCUGUGGUCAAGUGGCAUUAGUAAGAUUGGCACAUGUACAAGCUCAAGUUUGUAAUGUCCAUAUAGUUCCAUAAUAGUCAAAGUAAAUUCUGCAUGUCUUAAUGCAAACACUGAGCACCUGUCCUUUAACUUGAAGGCUAGACUGAUACACAAAUUCUACUAGUACCUGCUUUAUCAUUUUUAUACUACUAGCUUACAGGUGGGCAGAAGUAACAGUGCUAAUCAUUUUGGCUAUGUGUGCAGAGAAUAUAAAGCUUUGGUUUAAGGUGAUUCUGAUAAUACAAAUUGUAAAUACAAACAAGACAUCAUCAGGCAUAGAGAAUAAUAGUACUCAUUGAUUUAAUGCCUUUGCUGUUAACAAAAAUAUCAUUACUGUCAAUUAAAAUGCACAGUUAUGAAAAACAUGAGGAAUUACAUAAGAGACUGUAUACAGGCAACAGAUAACAUUUAUUCUUUUCUUGACUAUAGCUCUGACUCCUCCCUCCACUCUCUGAAACUGGACCAUGUCCUCACUAUAACCAAGAAGAUUCUCUGGACCCACCUGAGGGCUCACUGUGCCCUCAGCUCUGACAGAUGAGUGCAGAGAGAUGGUUGGCCCAGGUACUUCCACACCUGCCACAGCAUCCUGUCCAGACUGUGGUAGAAGUCAAAGCAGAGCUAAAGACGACUGUAAAGGAGGAACACUGGCUUCACAGCACGCCUUCCCUAGCCAACAAAAAGAGGUAUGAAACAAUUUCCUUUUAAACGCCUGUUAAGCUAAGGAAGCUUAUUUUGAUAAUGUCUGGCAGAAUUUCUAUUCCAAAAGAGCUCAUGAAGAACUAUGCAAAACCAAUUACUUUCUAUUUAAGAAUUAUAUAUAAGCUAUUAUACACACAUACAAAUUCAACUUUAAUCUACUUUAGCAACCAAGAGCUUGGCAAUUUACAACAAAUACCUUUACUGAACAAUCGUCUGUACUAGCUAUUUGUGGAAAAUGUGCUGGCGCUCCUACCUGAGGACGAUUACACUCGCCUGUCACCAGGAGGUCACCUAUUUUUGAGUUGUUCUUCCAAGAGCAGACUAAUCUAACUGGACAGUCAUACCUUUCCUUCCUUCCCACCCCUGCCCCAACUCCACAUACACACACUUCACAGAAAAGGAAACUAAGGUUUUAGUCAAAACGUUAGUUAAAAGUAAGGAUUAGAAUUUGCUAUCCCUGGAUUUCUUGCUCAUUGCCCUAGGUCUCAUUGCCUUAACAUUUGUAAACCAUUCAAACGGGACCUCUUUAGGGCAAAACCCACCAUUCUUGCUCUGCUUUGAAAAUUAUAACUGAAUCAUGAUAUAUAUACUUUAUAUAUACAUAAUAUAUAAAGAAUUUGGACAGUGCCAAUGUGAUUGAAAAUCAAGUAAUCAACCUGGAAAACAAUUCACUACGUCACAUUAGAAUUAGAAUACCUCUUUCUCUCCUUGUCUUAGGAAUUCGCAUCAAGUAAAACUGCAGUGUGACUAUCACAGACUAAUGCUAAUGUUUCUAACAUAUUAAAAAAAAAAAAAAAAAAAAAA